GUGUGUGUAGGGGGGGUUUGAUGGUGGGGGAGGGGUUGUUGUGGGGGGGGCUAGUUUGUUUCCGUUGGUUGUGAUAAACACCUCAGCCAAAAGCUGCUUGGGGAGGGGAGGGAUCGCUUGGCUUACUGGUUACUGUCUAUCUCCAGGGGAAGCCAAGGCAGGAACCUGGAGGCAGGAGCGGAGGCAGACAUCAAGGGAACACCGCUUACAAGCUUUCUUUCUGUGGCUCCUCAGUCAGCUUUAUACUACCUGCUCAGGGAUGGCACUACCCAUAGUGGGCUGGGCUCUCUCAUGGCAAUCAUCAGUCAGUUGACUCUAGGUUAUGUCGAGUUUGUCAAACACAAGCAGAACAGAGAGGAACAGCAUCCCGGAAGACUGGCAGGCAGGCAUCCAGCCUAGUGAGAAGGCAUUCUGAGGACCUGUGAUCACAGCCCCUUCCCCUGAGGUCUUGCCUUUGGGUGACAUAGAGGUAUCGAUGUCCUGGGAUACCUGACCAAGGCCCCACUAUCUGCCUCCUCAGGAAAAAGCCUUCUAAAGUGUUGUAUCUAAGUGUUGCCUUUUUAAACAUAGAUAUAUUAACUACGGAAAUGAUGACCUUUGGGACUAGGUGCAUUUUUAAAAUACAUUUUUUAUUAAUUCUCUUCUCUGAUAAUUUCAUACUGUGUAUAAUACAUUCUGGUUACUUUCACACCCCAUCCUCUUUAUCACCCUCCCACUGCUGUCACUCACUCUCCUGUAAUGGUACUAUUUGGAUACUUUAUUGGGUUUUUAUACCUAUCACCCUUCUCCAGCCCAAUCCCUUCCAACCCCCCAACACUAAGAAAGAAGGUUAGAGGGGAAAGUGGUCAUUGGUCUUGUUAGACUACUUCCUGCUGAUUAGGGACAUUGAGUUCCUUGGGGUAAGUCCAAUCUUCAUAGUUAGGAUAUCUCCAGCUGGCAAUCCAGCAAUCCAGCAGUCCAGCAAUCCAGCAAUCCAGCAGUCCAGCAAUCCAGCAGUCCAGCAAUCCAGCAAUCCAGCAGUCCAGCAAUCCAGCAAUCCAGCAGUCCAGCAAUCCAGCAAUCCAGCAAUCCAGCAGUCCAGCAAUCCAGCAAUCCAGCAGUCCAGCAAUCCAGCAAUCCAGCAAUCCAGCAAUUCAGCAAUCCAGCAAUCCAGCAAUUCAGCAAUCCAGCAAUCCAGCAAUUCAGCAACACCCGAGCAAGGGGAGCAACAGCCGCUGUCUCUCUCGGGACGCUGGCAUUUAUGUCCCCUCUCAAGAGUCCCCAGAAUUCUAAAUAUUUUCAGCUGGCAGAAUCAUGCCCCUGCCAGAGCAUGAGACAAAUCAUAGUCGCUGCCGCUGUGGACAACCUGGAGUAGCCGCAUAUCCCACACCUGGGAUUAAAACAAAAACACAUUCCACACAACAUAACUGGCUUUUUAAAGAAACCAAAAUUCUCCCUACACUCUCCUCUUCUCCACAGGUCUUUUUUUUCCUACAUUCAUGUCUCUUGUUUUGUUUUGUGACCCCCUUGAGUUUAACCGGGCUGUCUGUGUGACCUUAGGUUUGGUGCACUCACCUGCAGGUAUACCACCAAAGACAGCGAAAUCUCCUCCCUCAGAACCCACUAGUUGACAAUAGGCAACAGAGAAAGGAAGAGUCCCAUGAGGUCCUCCCCAGUCCAUAAUUGACAAGUGGCUGGCCCAGUCAUGUGCAGGACAGCGGAAACAACCUCAGCUGAUAAGGGGAUAGUGAUUGUAAUAGUGUGUCAUGGCCAGUGUUGAAGGCCAGGUCUCUCCAAGUCUUUCUCGGAGGCCCCGAUUAAAGGUCAAAGGAAACACUAAUUUUGUUUCCUUGCCCAGGGGCAGAUUUGGCAGUGUCCUGUCUACGGCUGGGGCCCUGAGGUUUUGUUCCUGGGAAUCUGACCUUUCCCCCACUGAAGGGCCUCACGUCUUCGGUGGAAAUGGCUCUUCCUCACCUUUGGAAUUGUCACCAGUGAAGAGAGAAGGCAGAGGCUGCAGCACAAUUUCUGAAGAACACAGUCCUCGUGGACAUUAGAGGACCCUCAUGGUGGAAAUUUAAACAAGGAAAAAGGGAAAGUCCACAUGAGUCACUUCUGCCCGCAUCGGCCAAAUCUUGGGGAGACAGUAUCCAUCCCACGUGAGAGUUCAUAGUCCUUUAUCGGGAAAUAAACUCAACUUGCUUUGUUA